GACAGAGGGUGCGAACGUUGUUCGGAAUUACUGGGCGUAAAGCGCAUGUAGGCGGCAGCGCAAGUCGGGCGUGAAAUCCCACGGCUCAACCGUGGAAGUGCACUCGAAACUGCGCAGCUAGAGUCCUGGAGAGGAAGGUGGAAUGCUUGGUGUAGAGGUGAAAUUCGUGAGAUAGUCAAGUCGGAACACCGGUGGACGAAGGCGGCCUGACUGGGA
rnacentral:rRNA from 1 species